AUGCAUAAGCUCGUAAAUGUUCAUUAUUUGGACAAGUCGACAUUUAUGCUUGGAAAUGACGAUGAAGGGUAAGAGGCUAUGGUUUUUGACACAAGUCCAAGCUUUGAUGAUCUUGUAGUUCAAGUGAGAAGCGUCUUACAUUGGAAUGACCCGAAUGCCGAGGUUAAGCUUAUUGGGAGGUAUGACGUUGGAUUGGGAGUAAAGUCCCGAUUAAAGAGUAUGCCCAUCACCUCCCAAUUGCAUUGGAAUGUGUACAAGGAAAAAGUAGACGCUUCACAAGACAAGUCUCUUGAGAUCUUUGCCACAAAGGUUGAUCCUCCUCCUUUGCAAAUUGAUCUCAACCGCAAUGCAUCCUCCCCCAUGCAUGAUGACAGUGCCGAGGUGUAUGUCCCCAAUUCUUCUAGCCAACCACCAAGUAGCCAACCC
rnacentral:rRNA from 1 species